CCAUGGGCGGAAAAUGGCCUAUGGGGAUGGAAACUACUCCAGGUCCUCCCAGGAGUGGCCCGGAUGCUCAUGUUAAGUGAGUGACUAUUUCUCGAGGCUUUCCGGAGUACAUCUGAACAACAGCCACCCCUACCUGCUCCCAA